rnacentral:rRNA from 1 species
UACGUAGGAGGCGAGCGUUGUCCGGAAUUACUGGGCGUAAAGAGCGCGUAGGCGGCACGGUACGACCGGUGUGAAAGCCCCCGGCUCAACUGGGGAGGGUCACCGGUAACGGCCGAGCUACGAGUGCAGGAGAGGGAAGUGGAACUCCGCGUGUAGCAGUGAAAUGCGUAGAUAUGCGGAGGAACACCGAUGGCGAAGGCAAUCCCCUGGGCCUGCACUGACGCUCAUGCACGAAAGCGUGGGGAGCAAACAGG